AGCUAGCUUCCCUGCUGCAUCACCCAGCAGUUCAGAAUGGCAGCAGCGGCCACGCUCUCAACAUCAGCCCAACAUCAGUGACUUUUCCUCCAUGCCUGAUUUCACUGCGGUCAGAUCCACUGUCUCCUCCAACCAGACUGAGAGACUGGAGCAAAGAAGAAGACGUGCAUGAGCGACAAAAGAGGAGGAGGAGGAGGUCAAGUAGUGAUGUGUCCACAGUGAUGUGCUGCUUCAAAAGGGGAGGAGUCAGAAUACAGGUUCCAGCACCACUGCCUCACAGAAAGCCUACUCUGCACAUUCUGCAGACACUGGUCUACAGGGAGGAAAUAGGGAGGAAAUUGUGCAGAAAGUAUAAAAGUCAGGUUCUCUUAUUCUCUCUCUCUCUUUCUCUCUCUCCCUCUCUCUUUCUCUAGCUCUCUCCCAGUGCCACUUUCUACAAGCUGGAAGAUUAAACGCUUUGGCUGCGUUUUUAAUUGUUCUGGUCUCUUAGCGAGAAAUCACUUCACUUUUUUAUUAUUAACGAUUCUGUGCAAAUUUAAUUAAAGUCCCAUCUCAGAAAUAUGGCUGUCGGUUCUGCAGGAAGACUUAUGUAGAAGGUAAAACGCAGUGAAAUACAAGCCGGAGGGCAAACCGCACGUUUUAUCUGGAUUUGACGUGUGUCGCAGGGCCAGCGUGGAGAACACGCUCUGUGGUUUUAUAACACUUGGCUCUUUCUGAAGGACACUGGAAGGUGAAGGAAGAGAAGUGAAUGGAUUUAUUACAUCCUGGUUCAUAACCCCUUUUAGCCCCCUUAAGACUGAGGUGGAAGAGGCUUUGCGAUCUUGUUUUGUCGUGCUUUUAUCUCAGUAGUUGCCAUGAGCUUUUUGCUUACCAGAAUUGCUUACAGAAUUGCUUACAGUACAGUGCCAUUAAAAAAAAAAAGAGUUUGCCCUCCCGUCCGAAUUCUUGAAAUUGUAGAUAUUUUACUGGAUGCCAAAAACUUUUUUUAACUUGUCUAUCGUUGCAUGAUUAAGUGCAUGAUUAAGUGAUAUCAUACUCUUAAUCCAUAGAAUUUAAUAUGAUAUUGGCCCUUGCUUUGUAGCUAUAACAGCUUCAAUUCUACUUUAAUGAGCCACUAAACCCUAAACCAUAAUUUUUUUCCAUUACCAGUUAAAAUGUGUUCCUUAUAAUAUAAUGAAAAUAAUGAAAAAACAUUUCCAAACCCCUAAAAACACUUUUAUUGUGGUAAUUUCCACCUCUGCAGCGCCCUCUCAGGUUCAACUGUGCUAUAGACGUGGAUAAUAUGUCUGUAUACUUUGGUCGGAGAAGACAACAAGCUCUUCGUAGACAGUGAUCACAGCAGGGAUUACAAGGAUAAUUUGUCCCUAGAGUGAAAAGACUUCUGUGGUACACUUCAGUGCACUGGCACACUGG
rnacentral:lncRNA from 1 species